rnacentral:tRNA from 1 species
GCCUUCGUGGUGUAAUAGUCAUCAUGCUCGGCGCGUAUUCGAGAGGUCCGAGGUUCGAAUCCUGGCGAGGGCA